rnacentral:rRNA from 1 species
ACGUGAUCUGAGUUCAGACCGGAGCAAUCCAGGUCGGUUUCUAUCUAUAAAUAAGCUUAUUCCAGUACGAAAGGACAAAAUAGGCGUGGCCCAUGCUCAGAGUAAGCCACUGUUGACAAUUUUUGCUAACAACUUAACUUAUAGUCAACCAACAACCUCCCUCAAAAAAAGAGA